rnacentral:rRNA from 1 species
GAUGAACGCUGGCGGCGUGCCUAACACAUGCAAGUCGAGCGAACAGACGAUGAGCUUGCUCCUCUGACGUUAGCGGCGGACGGGUGAGUGACGCGUGGAUAACCUACCUAUAAGACUGGGAUAACUUCGGGAAACCGGUGCUAAUACAGGAUCUUAUAUUGAACCGCAUGGUUCAAUAGUUAACGACGCUUUUGCUGUCCCUUAUCGAUGGAUCCGCGCCGGAUUUGCUGGUUGGUAAGGUAACGGCUUACCAAGGCGACGAUGCGUAGCCGAGCGGAGAGGGUGAUCGGCGACACGGGAGCUUAGACACGGUCCCGGCUCCUACGAGAGGCACCAGUAGCGAAUCUGCCGCAACGGGCGAAAGUCUGACGGAGCGACGCCGCGUGAGUGAUGAAGACGGUGGGAUCGUAAAACUCGGUUAUUGGGUAAGAACAAAUGUGUAAGUAGCUGUGCACGUGGUGACGGUACCUAAUCAAGAAGCCACGGCUAACUACGUG